CACAAAUAUGAAGGCGGGCUGGAACCUCUCGGGGUUACAGCCUUGCUGAAUUAUUCACCCUUGUCUUUUGCGUACUUCUUGUUUCCUUGGUGGGUUCGCCCACCACUAGGACAAACAUAAACCUUUUGUAAUUGCAAUCAGCGUCAGUAACAAAUUAAUAAUUA
rnacentral:misc_RNA from 3 species